GACGUAAGGCACAAGUAUUUCCCGUAAUGACUAGGGGUGUAAAGGGUGCGUAGGCUGCUCAAGAGAGCUAGAGUAAAAAAAAAGAUCACGGAAGGGCUAGUGUAGCGGCGGAAUGUCAAAAGAUUAGCAGUAAGGACAAAGGCGAAGGCAGUGAUCAAGAAAGAACUGACGCUGAAGCACGAAGGCUUGGGGAGCAAACAGG
rnacentral:rRNA from 1 species